rnacentral:rRNA from 1 species
GACGAACGCUGGCGGCGCGCUUAACACAUGCAAGUCGAGCGCAGCGGCGGACGGGUGAGUAAAACGUGAGUAACCUGCCUUUUACACAGGGAUAGCCGCGAGAAACCGGGAUUCAACCCUGAUGGUAAAAGAUGGACUCGCGUCCCAUUAGCAAGUUGGUGAGGUAACGGCCCACCAAGGCAACGAUGGGUAGCCUGCCAGAGAGGGUGAACGGCCACAUUGGAACUGAGAAACGGUCCAAACUCUACGGGAGGGAGCAGUGGGGAAUAUUGCACAAUGGGGGAAACCCUGAUGCAGCGACGCCGCGGGAGCGAAGAAGGCCUUCGGGUCGUAAAGCUCUUUUAUAUGGGAGGCGGUACCAUAAGAAAAAGCCCCGGCUAACUACGUGCCAGCAGCCGCGGUAAUAC